rnacentral:rRNA from 1 species
UACGUAGGUGGCGAGCGUUGUCCGGAAUUACUGGGUGUAAAGGGCGUGUAGGCGGGGGAGCAAGUCAGAUGUGAAAUACCGGGGCUCAACUCCGGUGCUGCAUCUGAAACUGCCCCUCUUGAGUGUCGCAGAGGAAAGCGGAAUUCCCAGUGUAGCGGUGAAAUGCGUAGAGAUUGGGAGGAACACCAGUGGCGAAGGCGGCUUUCUGGGCGACAACUGACGCUGAGGCGCGAAAGCGUGGGGAGCAAACAGG